rnacentral:lncRNA from 1 species
UUAGAUCAAUUCUGUUCUAAUUUCUUCUUGCAAGUUUCUAGAAUUUUUUUUUAAGAAUUUCUUGUGCUAGUCAAUCUCAACUCACUAGUGCUAACAGUUGUGUAAGGAGAAGCAUCUCAGUUAAGCCAUGAAGUGCAUUUGCACAGCUUGAGUGUUUAAACCAUAGUCACAAUUGUAAAUCUGCACUGUUGUCAGCUUAUCACCGUGUUGAAUUUGGCUUUGAAUUACCAUUUCAAGUUUUCUUUCACCUAGCUGAUAUUUUCCAGCUUGGAUCAGUGUUAAUACGUAUUUCUGAGUUGUUUGUAUUCUUGUUUAGCCUUUUGAUUCAAUCAAACUCAGUUUGGAGUGUGAGGUUGCCUAAUUUUCCUGCAUAAGGGACUGUGAGAUGGUCAUAUUUUGAUGGAUGCUGUUUCAGUACCAAUUCUAAGCUUAAACAACUCUAUUUUCAUAAUAUAAAGUUGCUGGAAUUGGUUAUUUGACCUUAAAGCCACUUGUGUGGAUUUUCACAUCUCAAAACCCCAUUCUAAGUUCAAUUUUUUGGUGCAAAUUGGCUGUUGUCAAAUCUAUUUUUAACUCCAAAAGUGCAAGAAAAAAAAAAUCAGUUUGGAUUGUAGUAAAAGCCAGAAUCUGUAUGAGACAAGGUGUAACAAGUUGAAAUGAAUAUAAGAGGCAAAUAGAUCCUGUGCAAUCCAGUUUUGCAACUUAAAAAUCAGAGAAUCCAAAUGUGCUGGAAAUCUGAAAGUCAUUCANGACUUUCAUCAAACAGUUNUGAAAGUUGGAGUUAAAACUUNAUUUUCUUGAUUCUAAGCCAAUUUGCUUAAUUUUUCUUGCUUUCUUAAUCUUUUCUAGAGCCACUGGUAGGAUCAAAUUUGCGUGCCAGCCAUUUUCUUCAUCAGCUUUAUUUGAUUGAUUGUCUUAUUGGCUUGAUAGUUUUGUCUUUCNAUAUAAAUUCUGAUCAGCUUUUGAGAAAUCAGUUUGAUGCACUGUUUGAGUGGUAGUUGUGGNUGUUAUUAACAGUUUGGUGNAGUUUAGAAGGCUUGCAAGGAAACUAGAAAAGGGUAGAGUCUUAGGUGGUGGAGGCUGAACCUCUAACUGGACGUGAAGCUGCCAGACCCGUGGAGUGCACCCUGAAUUAUUUUUUUCAGCAAACACAAUUUUGUUUUGAGAGCUUUAGGUGAGAACUAAAUCACAACCUACACCACUACAGCUGUGAGCUUUGUGACUGUCUUCAUUACAGUCUUCUUUAUUCCAG